CAGCCCUGCCUCCUAAGGUUGCAUCCCUUC
rnacentral:piRNA from 1 species